UACGUAGGGGGCAAGCGUUGUCCGGAAUCAUUGGGCGUAAAGAGCGUGUAGGCGGUCCGGUAAGUCCGCUGUGAAAGUCCAGGGCUCAACCCUGGAAUGCCGGUGGAUACUGCCGGGCUAGAGUCCGGAAGAGGCGAGUGGAAUUCCUGGUGUAGCGGUGAAAUGCGUAGAUAUCAGGAGGAACACCGGUGGUGUAGACGGCUUUCUGGACCGUAACUGACGCUGAGACACGAAAGCGUGGGUAGCAAACAGG
rnacentral:rRNA from 1 species